AGAUUGAACGCUGGCGGCAUGCCUUACACAUGCAAGUCGAACGGUAGAGUAGCAAUACUCGAGAGUGGCGAACGGGUGAGUAAUAUAUCGGAACGUGCCCAGUCGUGGGGGAUAACGUAGAGAAAUUUACGCUAAUACCGCAUACGAUCUACGGAUGAAAGCGGGGGAUUCGCAAGAACCUCGCGCGAUUGGAGCGGCUGAUAUCAGAUUAGGUUGUUGGUGAGGUAAAAGCUCACCAAGCCGACGAUCUGUAGCUGGUUUGAGAGAACGACCAGCCACACUGGGACUGAGACACGGCCCAGACUCCUACGGGAGGCAGCAGUGGGGAAUUUUGGACAAUGGGCGAAAGCCUGAUCCAGCAAUGCCGCGUGCAGGAAGAAGGCCUUGGUGUAACUGCUUUGUACGAACGAAACGGUUCUUUACUAAGUAAAGAGGACUAAUCGAACGUACCGUAAGAAUAAGCAACCGGCUAACGUACGUCGACCAGCCAGGCCGCGUAAGUCCUAGA
rnacentral:rRNA from 1 species